UAGCUCUCUCUGUUCCUCUCUCUUCCACUUCCUUCAACACUU
rnacentral:sRNA from 1 species